GAUGAACGCUGGCGGCGUGCCUAAUACAUGCAAGUCGAGCGAAUGGAUUGAGAGCUUGCUCUCAAGAAGUUAGCGGCGGACGGGUGAGUAACACGUGGGUAACCUGCCCAUAAGACUGGGAUAACUCCGGGAAACAGGGGCUAAUACCGGAUAAUAUUUUGAACUGCAUGGUUCGAAAUUGAAAGGCGGCUUCGGCUGUCACUUAUGGAUGGACCCGCGUCGCAUUAGCUAGUUGGUGAGGUAACGGCUCACCAAGGCAACGAUGCGUAGCCGACCUGAGAGGGUGAUCGGCCACACUGGGACUGAGACACGGCCCAGACUCCUACGGGAGGCAGCAGUAGGGAAUCUUCCGCAAUGGACGAAAGUCUGACGGAGCAACGCCGCGUGAGUGAUGAAGGCUUUCGGGUCGUAAAACUCUGUUGUUAGGGAAGAACAAGUGCUAGUUGAAUAAGCUGGCACCUUGACGGCACCUAACCAGAAAGCCACGGCUAACUACGUGCCAGCCGCCGCAGUAA
rnacentral:rRNA from 1 species